rnacentral:rRNA from 1 species
UCCUACGGGAGGCAGCAGUGGGGAAUAUUGCACAAUGGGCGCAAGCCUGAUGCAGCGACGCCGCGUGAGGGAUGACGGCCUUCGGGUUGUAAACCUCUUUCAGUAGGGAAGAAGCGAAAGUGACGGUACCUGCAGAAGAAGCGCCGGCUAACUACGUGCCAGCAGCCGCGGUAAUACGUAGGGCGCAAGCGUUAUCCGGAAUUAUUGGGCGUAAAGAGCUCGUAGGCGGUUUGUCGCGUCUGCCGUGAAAGUCCGGGGCUCAACUCCGGAUCUGCGGUGGGUACGGGCAGACUAGAGUGAUGUAGGGGAGACUGGAAUUCCUGGUGUAGCGGUGAAAUGCGCAGAUAUCAGGAGGAACACCGAUGGCGAAGGCAGGUCUCUGGGCAUUAACUGACGCUGAGGAGCGAAAGCAUGGGGAGCGAACAGGAUUAGAUACCCUGGUAGUCCAUGCCGUAAACGUUGGGCACUAGGUGUGGGGGACAUUCCACGUUUUCCGCGCCGUAGCUAACGCAUAA